UACGUAGGGUGCGAGCGUUGUCCGGAAUUACUGGGCGUAAAGAGCUCGUAGGUGGUUUGUCGCGUUGUCCGUGAAAACUCACAACUCAACUGUGGGCUUGCAGCCGAUACGGGCGGGCUAGGAUUCGGUAGGGGAGACUGGAAUUCCUGGGUGUAGCGGUGAAAUGCGCAGAUAUCAGGAGGAACACCAAUGGCGAAAGCAGCUCUCUGGGACGGUACUGACGCUGAGACGCGAAAGCGUGGGGAGCGAACAGG
rnacentral:rRNA from 1 species